UGACCUCGGAUCAGGUAGGGAUACCCGCUGAACUUAAGCAUAUCAAUAAGCGGAGGAAAAGAAACCAACAGGGAUUGCCUCAGUAACGGCGAGUGAAGCGGCAACAGCUCAAAUUUGAAAUCUGGCCCCGUCGGGGUCCGAGUUGUAAUUUGUAGAGAGUGUUUCGGGUGAGACCACGGUCUAAGUUCAUUGGAACAUGGCGUCAUAGAGGGUGAGAAUCCCGUAUGUGACUGUGGCUCGAGCCCAUGUGAAGCCUCUUCGACGAGUCGAGUUGUUUGGGAAUGCAGCUCAAAAUGGGUGGUAAAUUUCAUCUAAAGCUAAAUACUGGCUGGAGACCGAUAGCGCACAAGUAGAGUGAUCGAAAGAUGAAAAGCACUUUGGAAAGAGAGUCAAACAGUACGUGAAAUUGUUGAAAGGGAAGCGCUUGCAACCAGACCUGUCCGUAGGUGAUCAGCCGCUGUUCUCAGCGGUGCACUCGCUCUGCGAUCAGGCCAGCAUCGGUUUCGGCGGUUGGAUAAAGGCCUUGGGAAUGUAGCUCCCUUCGGGGAGUCUUAUAGCCCUCGGUGCAAUGCGGCCAGCCGGGACCGAGGACCGCGCUUCGGCUAGGAUGCUGGCGUAAUGGUUGUAAGCGACCCGUCUUGAAACACGGACCAAGGAGUCUAACAUCUAUGCGAGUGUUUGGGUGUUAAACCCAUGCGCGGAAUGAAAGUGAACGGAGGUGAGAACCCUUUAGGGCGCAUCAUCGACCGAUCCAGAUGUCUUCGGAUGGAUUUGAGUAUGAGCAUAGCUGUUGGGACCCGAAAGGUACGUUCAACCCCCCCCCCCACCGAUUGCUAACUUUAGAAUUUACGUCUACUCUCGUAUAGAAUUAUAGGCUGACUUGUCCGACAGAUGGUGA
rnacentral:rRNA from 1 species